rnacentral:rRNA from 1 species
AUUGAACGCUGGCGGUAUGCUUAACACAUGCAAGUCGAACGGCAGCAUGACAGAGCUUGCUCUGUUGAUGGCGAGUGGCGGACGGGUGAGUAAUACUUAGGAAUCUAUCCAGUAGUUGGGGAUAACGUGGGGAAACUCACGCUAAUACCGAAUACGCACUACGGUGGAAAGAGGGGGAUCUUCGGACCUCUCACUAUUGGGUGAGCCUAAGCCGGAUUAGCUAGUUGGUGGGGUAAUGGCCUACCAAGGCGACGAUCCGUAGCUGGUCUGAGAGGACGAUCAGCCACACUGGGACUGAGACACGGCCCAG